CUGUUCGCCGAAGCAGGAUGACUAAAACGAUAUCUGACGGGGGCAGUUUUCUCCUUACCAGCAGCCACAAGCGAUUACUCAAGAAAAACACCUUUAACCCGAAGCUUUUAAGUCAAUCUCAAAAAGCAGCAAUUGCAGAAUUCACAAAAUAAGCAACAAGAAACCAAACCAUGGAAGAGAAUUAUUCCCAUGAAAUGAGACCAGAGAUGGACUUCUUUUAAAAUGCUCUGUCCUCUGCCUCCAGGUGCACCCUGAUGAUUUUCUG